CCUGAACGUUGUGUCUGUGUAUGCGUGUCAUCUUUGUGGCAUCACACGUCAACUACACAGAACGCAUACACCUGCAGCACCUUUGGGACUAAUGACACAAAGGUCAAGGCCAGCCUGGCGACCAUGCUUGCCAAGGAGUAGUGUAAAUAUUUAAUCUGUUUCCAUAAUAGCAUAAGACAAGAAUUUAAGGAAUUCAUGUAUUAUAUCGAGCAAUAAAAACGGUUAAUGCAU